rnacentral:rRNA from 1 species
GGUAAGCAGAACUGGCGAUGUGGGAUGAACCAAACGUAAAGUUAAAGUGCCUAAAAAUACGUUCAUCAGAUACCACAAAAGGUGUUGAUUCAUCUUGACAGUUGGACAGUGGCCAUGGAAGUCGGAAUCUGCUAAGGAGUGUGUAACAACUCACCAACCGAAUGAAUUAGCCCUGAAAAUGGAUGGCGCUUAAACGUAUUACUUAUACUUUACCAUUAAGAUAAAUGCUAAAAUCUUAAUGAGUAGGAGGGCGUAUGGAUAAUUUAGAAGACUGACAGUGAUGUUGGUUGGAAUUAUCUUUAGUGCAGAUCUUGGUGGUAGUAGCAAAUAUUCAAUAGAGAACAUUGAAGACUGAAGUGGAGAAAGGUUUCACAUGAACAACACUUGGAUGUGAGUUAGUCGAUCCUAAACGGUGGGUUAACUCCAAAUACAUGAAUACUUGUAUUCUGUACCGUGAAAGGGAAACAGGUUAAUAUUCCUGUACUAUAUCAAGGAG